rnacentral:rRNA from 1 species
UACGUAGGGAGCGAGCGUUGUUCGGAAUCACUGGGCGUAAAGCGAACGUAGGCGGGAAAGUAAGUUAGAAGUGAAAUGUAUCGGCUCAACCGAUGAUCUGCUUUUAAUACUGCUUUUCUUGAGUAUGAAAGAGGAAGAUGGAAUUCCAGGUGUAGCGGUGGAAUGCGUAGAUAUCUGGAAGAACACCAGUUGCGAAGGCGGUCUUCUGGUUCAAUACUGACGCUGAGGUUCGAAAGCUAGGGGAGCGAACAGG